rnacentral:rRNA from 1 species
AGUGAACGCUGGCGGCGUGCCUAAUACAUGCAAGUCGAACGGACGAGUAAGAGCUUGCUCUUAUGAGUUAGUGGCGCACGGGUGAGUAAUGUAUAGCUAAUCUGCCCUACACUAGAGGACAACAGUUGGAAACGACUGCUAAUACUCUAUACUCCUCUCUAGCAUAAGUUAGAUAGGGAAAGUUUUUCGGUGUAGGAUGAGGCUAUAUUGUAUCAGCUAGUUGGUGAGGUAAUGGCUCACCAAGGCUAUGACGCAUAACUGGUCUGAGAGGAUGAUCAGUCACACUGGAACUGAGACACGGUCCAGACUCCUACGGGAGGCAGCAGUAGGGAAUAUUGCUCAAUGGGGGAAACCCUGAAGCAGCAACGCCGCGUNG